CAAAAAGAAACUCACCCAGGAGAGCGGUCAAAAAGUCGACCCGGUUUCCUUUUUGCUAAUCAAACUGCGACAUUUCACAACGUUAACCACCAGUUUUAUUUUUAAAGUCUUACUCAGAGCCCUAACUUUCUACAGUUUGUGUGUACGACGCUGCUCUAACUGCUUUCCUUCAUGAGAUUUCACUUUGAUGUUACUUCUGUUUGUAUCGUUGAAUGUAGGCUCGACCCAGAUCAUCUGCUCUCAUCCUGACGUGUGAACAAGUGCAGCUGCUGAAAUGUGAAACAGGAAACGACGCGAACCUGCAGACAAAACAGCCGUUUGUUGUUAUAAAGACAAAAAAUCUGGGUUAAAGAAGGGAUCAGCACACGCAGGAAUCUGAGAGUUUUAGGAGAAGGUGUUGACCCGACUCUUCACUGAGGAGCUACGCGGCUGUUUGUGGCGAGGAGGCGGUGUUACCUGUACAGCUGCCGUCUUUACACCUGCACUUCGGAGAGGCUGGAUUCAAAUCGCAGAACGGCCGAGUGUCCUUAUCUGGUGACACAGAGAGAGAUUAUUAACAGUCACUCUGAAGUUUGUACACUUGUUUUCUGAAUAAUAAAAUAUCACUUUUUGGUUUGUAA